rnacentral:rRNA from 1 species
GACGAACGCUGGCGGCGUGCUUAACACAUGCAAGUCGAGCGAUGAAAUCCCUUCGGGGAUGGCUUAGCGGCGGACGGGUGAGUAACACGUGGGCAACCUGCCUUAUAGAGAGGAAUAGCCAUCCGAAAGGAUGAUUAAUACCUCAUAAUAUUGUAGCUUCGCAUGAAGACACAAUCACAGGAGCAAUCCACUAUAAGAUGGGCCCGCGGCGCAUUAGCUAGUUGGUGAGGUAACGGCUCACCAAGGCGACGAUGCGUAGCCGACCUGAGAGGGUGAUCGGCCACAUUGGGACUGAGACACGGCCCAGACUCCUACGGGAGGCAGCAGUGGGGAAUAUUGCACAAUGAGGGAAACCCUGAUGCAGCAACGCCGCGUGAGUGAUGACGGUCUUCGGAUUGUAAAACUCUGUCUUCAGGGACGAUAAUGACGGUACCUGAGGAGGAAGCCACGGCUAACUACGUGCCAGCAGCCGCCGUAACAC